UACAUGCAACAAUGCCCAACCCUCACGGGAAGGGUGCACUUAUUAGAUCAAGACCAACCGGGUUUCGGCUCGAAGUUUUGAUGACUCUGGAUAAUUGUUUCGAUCGCACGGCCUUUGUGUCGGCGACGUUUCUUUCAAAUGUCUGCCCUAUCAACUAUAGAUGGUAGAUAAAUUGUCUACCAUGGUGAUAACGGGUAACGGGGAAUCAGGGUUCGAUUCCGGAGAGGGAGCCUGAGAAACAGCUACCACAUCCAAGGAAGGCAGCAGGCGCGCAAAUUACCCACUCUCAAAACGAGGAGGUAGUGACAAUAAAUAACGAUGCGGGACUCAAUCGAGGCCCCGUAAUCGGAAUGAGUACACUUUAAAUCCUUUAACGAGGAUCAAUUGGAGGGCAAGUCUGGUGCCAGCAGCCGCGGUAAUUCCAGCUCCAAUAGCGUAUAUUAAAGUUGUUGCAGUUAAAAAGCUCGUAGUUGGAUCUAAGGAUUUGGACGGAUGGUACGCUUUAGGGUGUCACUGUCUGUCUGGCCUAUAUUAGUCGUGGAAGCCUUUAGUGCUCUUCAUUGAGUGCUUUGGGUGCCCGACGCAAUUACUUUGAGAAAAUUAGAGUGCUUAAAGCAGGCAUAAUGCUUGUAUACUGUUGCAUGGAAUAAUGAAAUAGGAGUUUGCUUCUAUUUUGUUGGUUUUCGGAAGUGAACUAAUGAUUAACGGGGACAGACGGGGGCAUUUGUAUGGAGGCGAUAGAGGUGAAAUUCUGUGACCGUCUCCAGACAAACUACUGCGAAAGCAUUUGCCAGGAAUGUUUUCAUUAAUCAAGAACGAAAGUCAGAGGUUCGAAGACGAUCAGAUACCGUCCUAGUUCUGACCUAAAUGAUGCCAUCUAGUAAUUCCCGAAGUUUGCUUGUACGAACUUGGGAGCGGCCCCCGCGAAAGCAAAGAUUUUGGGUUCCGGGGGAAGUAUGGUUGCAAAGCUGAAACUUAAAGGAAUUGACGGAAGGGCACCACCAGGAGUGGAGCCUGCGGCUUAAUUUGACUCAACACGGGAAACCUCACCCGGCCCGGACACUGUAAUGAUUGACAGAUUAACAGCUCUUUCUUGAUUUGGUGGUUGGUGGUGCAUGGCCGUUCUUAGUUGGUGGAGUGAUUUGUCUGGUUAAUUCCGAUAACGAACGAGACUCUACCCUGCUAAAUAGUACGCAGAUAAUAAUUCUGUCUGUGCUGACUUCUUAGAGGGACUAACGGCGUUUAGCCGUGUGAGAAAGAGCAAUAACAGGUCUGUGAUGCCCUUAGAUGUUCGGGGCCGCACGCGCGCUACACUAAUUACAGCAACGGGUAUGCUCCUGGUUAGAAAUGACUGGGUAACCCGAUUGAAUCGUAAUUGUGACAGGGAUCGAGGUUUGCAAUUAUCUCUCGUGAACGAGGAAUUCCCAGUAAGCGCAAGUCAUUAGCUUGUGCUGAUUACGUCCCUGCCCUUUGUACACACCGCCCGUCGCUACUACCGAUUGAACGGUUUAGUGAGGUCCUUGGAUUGACUGUA
rnacentral:rRNA from 1 species